rnacentral:rRNA from 1 species
UGGGGAAUAUUGGGCAAUGGGCGCAAGCCUGACCCAGCAACGCCGCGUGAAGGAAGAAGGUUUUCGGAUUGUAAACUUCUGUCAUAGGGGACGAAGGAAGUGACGGUACCCUAUGAGGAAGCCCCGGCUAACUACGUGCCAGCAGCCGCGGUAAUACGUAGGGGGCGAGCGUUGUCCGGAAUUACUGGGCGUAAAGGGUGCGUAGGCGGCGAUGCAAGUCCAUUGUGAAAAGCCCGGGCUUAACCUGGGAGGUGCAGUGGAAACUGUAAGGCUUGAGUGCAGGAGAGGAAAGUGGAAUUCCUAGUGUAGCGGUGAAAUGCGUAGAUAUUAGGAGGAACACCAGUGGCGAAGGCGACUUUCUGGACUGUAACUGACGCUGAGGCACGAAAGCGUGGGGAGCAAACA